rnacentral:misc_RNA from 1 species
UUUAAGUUCAAAUACUUACCAUCAUUCUAUAAACAAAAAGAAUAUUAUGCUAUAAAAGAUUUAUGACUGCACAAUCAAAAACAGAGUAUGAAACGUAGGUAAUUUAAUCCGGCAAAGAAAUUUUAAGAAACGCAAGUUUUUAGCACAUAUUUUUCAAAGAUCACAGCAAGUAGAUUAUAAAGGUAUGAACCACCAAAUGGCUAUUUAAGGACCUACGCAGCAAAUGGCCAUUUCUCACCCUUUCCUAACCACUUAAGCAGCUAAGCCAUCCUUCAAUUCUCUCUUCUAGCUCCCCAACAGAACCAGCCUGCAUAUCUAUAGGAUUUAAUCUCUCCUAUUCCUUGGUGUGCAUAAGUGGGAGAUCUGAAACAUUAAUGGACACAAUCUCAAAUCCUGUUUCCAACCAAAACCAACAGAAUCCAGAGUCCCUCAACAUGUUGUCAUCUUCCCAGAGGCUGAACAACAAGAUUGGUUAAAAACAUCAAGACAACAUAUCAAGGUAGUCCCUAGAUUGCUGAACAACAUUUCUGGUAAGAGGACCUGUUCCAUUUUUCAAGCUCCUCAAACAGUUAAGAUAGGCAAAGAAAGAAAUCACUCCAGAUGAUCGAAGAAGAAAAAUGGCGAUUGCUUGGUGUAGUUAUCUUAUCACUUGUAUAUCAAUGAAAACAACCAGCUAUCCUUCACCUAAACCCAGUUUUGACACUAAUGUUUUAUAUGCAUAAAGCAACCAGCAGAUUAUGAAAUACUAAUCAUUUUCUUAUAAGCGCAUAGAGAUUCAAUAACUAACAUUCAGAACAAACAACAAUCCUCUUAAAAUAGGGUUUCCAAGAAUAAUCAUUUUCUUACAAGCGCAAAGAGAUUCAAUAACUAACAUUCCAAGAAAAAAACACAAUUACAAGUAACGAGAACACUGGAAUAUUGAAAAUUAUGACUUCAUACAAAACAGAGAAUAAAUAAACAACCAAGCUCUCUGAGAUCCUAAAUCAAGUGGAUGAAGGAAGAUAAUGGAAAAAGGGGAUAAUGCAAUUACUGGGUAACGGUAAUGGAAAGCAAAUUAAGAAAAAUAUACGUGACCCAGACUGAUCGAUGAUAAAGACAGAGAGAAGAAGAAAAGAAGAAAGCAACCAAGAAACUCACAGAUUGGAAUAGAUUACUAUUAACAGGAUUGAAAAACUGAAGGGUAUUUAAGUAAUUUCACAAGCGAAAUGCUUUUCCACUUUGCCACAACUUAUUUUCCUUUACUCCUACUUUCCCUGUAUCCAAACAAGCUGUAAGUUUGGGAAAGAGAGAGAACGCGCCAACGCGGGGGUAGGUGUGAGAUUGACCGAACCACCUCUCGAACACUUCACGUAUAAAGACCCCUUCACACACCUCCCUUUCUUCUCAGCUUGACGUUCCCUUCUGUAGAGAACACCAAGCU